UACGGAGGGAGCUAGCGUUGUUCGGAAUUACUGGGCGUAAAGCGCACGUAGGCGGCGAUUCAAGUCAGAGGUGAAAGCCCGGGGCUCAACUCCGGAACUGCCUUUAAGACUGCAUCGCUUGAAUCCGGGAGAGGUGAGUGGAAUUCCGAGUGUAGAGGUGAAAUUCGUAGAUAUUCGGAAGAACACCAGUGGCGAAGGCGGCUCACUGGACCGGUAUUGACGCUGAGGUGCGAAAGCGUGGGGAGCAAACAGG
rnacentral:rRNA from 1 species